UACAGAGGGGGCAAGCGUUGUUCGGAAUUACUGGGCGUAAAGGGCGCGUAGGCGGCCUUCUAAGUCGAACGUGAAAUCCCCGGGCUCAACCCGGGAACUGCGUCCGAUACUGGAAGGCUUGAAUCCGGGAGAGGGAUGUGGAAUUCCAGGUGUAGCGGUGAAAUGCGUAGAUAUCUGGAGGAACACCGGUGGCGAAGGCGACAUCCUGG
rnacentral:rRNA from 1 species